CUUCCAGUUGCAGGAUGUGGAUCAAAUGACUCCCGCUUAUCGCACCUCCACCCCUAAACUGAAGGAAUAAGUGCCUGAAAACUCAGCUUGUGUUACCAAAUAAAUAGCAAGAAUGUGGGAUUCCCUAUCUGUGCUGCAGGGACUGCCCUCCUUCAGCUUUCUUCUCCUUAAUAAAAAAGCUAGGGCAUCCGGUUCCUGCGCCCCACUUGGUAGCACAGCACCAGUUAACUCACAGAGCCAGUUCUUGACACGUCAGAAAAGAGCAGAUUUAAAAUUCUCUUUGCAGUCCCUGGCCUGGCACACGUGUGUUCUCACAGACUCGUCCACGACACCGCCGAACUGCAGACUUUCCCACAGGAUGCAUGCCUCAUGCUGUACAACAGGAUAAUCACGCCCAGUGGCAGAAAUAAAUUAGCAUAGCAAUCUCAAUCUGCUGCCCGACUGUUUUUUCUCGUAUGUAAACUUCAAAGUCACUCAGAGGUCAAAGCUUGGAUGAAGACAGACCGAGGAGAACAGCAGCGGUGAGAACACGCAGUGCGGAGAAGCCGGGGAUGUCGGUGGCAGCACAUCGCCUCCAUCGAGGUGCUGGGGAGAUGACCUACGUCUUCGACGUGGCAUGCCAUGAUCUGAGCGUCUGAUGUGGUUGUUGAGGCUUCUGUGCUCACUGGGAAAUUGUCUCGCAGAGGAGCGAAGGGCACGGCCAUGCUCUGGCGGACUUGACAUUCACUGGCUGGUCUUGGUUCAGGCAGUCUGGAAAUAGCUAAAUAGAUCACCGUGAAAAUACUGGAGAAAAACAGCUUUUUCAUGGUUUGUGUUGAAUGCAGAGGGCUUCGGGGUUGGGUGCAAGUUCGGAUAGCACUUACAAUAGCACUGAAAUUAUUUCCCACAGAUGUAUUAGCUUGCAUUUGUUGCUUCUUCCACUUCCACAGUAAAUUCCCACAGGCACUGUGGGAAGAGAGCAUCCUUCUGUAGUGCUGGGCCUCCCCACCAGGGCUAAGAAGGGUUUCAGGCUUAGGAAGUACUUGAAACGCUCCCGAUACAAGGAGCACAUCUAAUGUGUGCCUUGUUGUCCCUUGUUAACAUAACCAGAAGCCACAUUGCUCUCUGCUGCUUCUCACUCAACAACCUUUUUCUGCUGGUUCCGGGCCACUUAGCAUCAUUCUUUUCCUUAAUGAGUUUCACAUCAGUUCUCAUUUUAGCUGAGAGAAAUAAUUUUUGGGCCAGUUUCAAUGAGUUUUGCAAGAAUUAAAGUGAUACUCACUUUUUCAUUAGUGACUCUUUACCACUAACACAGCUCUGCUUACUCCUGAUUUCCGUGCCUCUACGCGUUAAUGCAAAAGCAGAGAAGGAAAAAAACAAAAACACAGCGAGAGAAAAGAAAGAAAAAGUGUUAAUGUGGGAAGAGAAAGCAAAAGUGUGAAGUGGCUCUGUGAAGAGCCACGUGGGUGCAAAGAGAAGCGACAGGGACGCAGGGAAAAGCAGCUGGAAAGCAGGAGUGUGGAGAAAAAUGAGGCUAGGAGGAGGGGUAAAGGGGAGCAGGAGUGGGAGCGGGGAG
ensembl:lncRNA